ensembl:lncRNA
CCCAUGCAAUAAUUUCCCCUUCUAUCCAAGGCAGCUGGUUCACUCUGUGCUACACCAGGUAAGCAAUGAGGGCAGCCCCUUAUGGGCUGCAGCCACAGCAGUGCUCUCCCUGCCCUCAGCCCUUGGAGCUGUGGAUUUGCAGCAGGUUGGUUAGGGUUUGGGGUGAACGUAUUUUCAGCCCCUCAGCCCAUCACAUGCGGUGUGUGUGUAUGAGAAGCAGUGCCAUUUAUCACUGCAUCUGGCGAUGAAUUCCUCCAGUUUAUAUCUGGGGAGAGGCAAAUUGUUGGCUUUAAUAGCUGCAAGCUCCUCUGAUCUGCAGUCGCUGUCUGGGAGAUCUUUUGAUCUGACAAAGCAUUUGCGGAGCUCUGCAUGGCUCCUUCAUCAGCCUCUCAGGAGGAAUCCUGCUGUCAGGCUACAGACAUGGGGCAAGUGAACGGGCAAUUUUGAAGUCUCAACCUCUUGGAGCUGGAGAUGCUCCUAGGCAGCAGUUUACCUGCCAUUGCCUCUGGCUCUGCUCGCUGCCUCUGGUGAGUUAGUGCGAUAGCUCACAUUUCCCCUGCGGACAGUCACCAAGUUUACUUGCUAGAAUCUCAUCCUGUUCUCUUAAUUAGGCAUUUUCAUGCAAUGAACCAUAUGGAAUUCAAUGAAAGAAGUGUUGAUGUGCAGCGCGGAUGAUGAUUGAUAAAGCUGGCAGAUGGGUGGAUGGAUGGCUUUGAAGACUGGAUUUUCAGUUAGAUUUGUUUUGAAACUAAGUAAAUAAGAUGGAUAGAACUCGCUGGCAGGGAGGAUGUACAGCAGGGCUCCUUCCCUGCACUGUCAACAAUUGUUCAGGUCGAUGGCCCUCCUGCAGACAGCUUACAUUUUUCAAUUGCGUGGAGUCCUUUGGGUUGGAAGGGACCUUAAAACCCAUUCAGUUCCAACCCCUGUGGUGUGCAGGACACCUCCCAUAGACCACACUGCCCAGGGCCCCAUCCAUGGCCUUGGGCACCUCCAGGGAUGGGGCACUCACACUUCUCAGGGUAGCAGUGCCAUGGUCUCACUGCCCUCUGAGCCAACAUAAAAUGUCACUCCUCAUUUCCAGUUGUGGGUUUUUGUUUUUUUUUUUCCGUUUCCCAUAUCUCUUCUUCCUUCUGCUUCUUAUGGAACUUCCUUCUUCCAUUUCAUCUCUUCUUUGCUCAUCUCCAUUGUUCUCCCAUUUUCUUCAGAAUGCAGAUAAUCUCUGUCUAUGUGGGACUUUUCCCAGCAGAGUAACAGAGAGUUAUCAUUGUGAUGUGGUCUGUGAUCUGAAUUCCUGCGUGCAAUUCUGCACAGAUAGAUUUAGGAAAGCAACUGAAGAGCAUGCAGUCAAAAACAGGUUUGGGUUUGAGCGCUGUUCCACGCAGAGCUUCUAGCAGUCCUUCUCUGUUGUUCUGUCAUUUUGCAGAACUUCCCCCAGUAAUUCCCACGAACACCUGGAAGCUUUCUCCAUGCAGCUGCAUGAGAACUGAGCACCAUGACACAGACGGCGAAGGCACCAUUUGUGUGACCCUUCCCUGGCAAAACUGCUGAGCACAGCAUAACCCCAAGGCACGCUGGAGCUCUUUUACUUUUAACUGUAGCUGUGAAAUAGGAGAAAAGCCCAAUGAAGCAAAAGCUCCUGUCCUUUUAUUUUUGCUCUUAACAUGUAAAAAUAAUAGAAGUGCCCACUGCCUGCUGGGCUCGUUAAAUAAGUCUUUUUAUUUUCAUAAAUCACUGCAGUAGAUUCUGAAUUAUUUACUCGGCAAACUCGAGGCUACGUUAAUUUCCCCUCUCUGGUUGCUCGGAGCCCAUUUCUGCAUUGGAUUUGGAGCAGUUUCCCUCCUGCCCUGUGUUGGGGCCACCUGGGCUCCCCGUGCAGGUCCCACCCUGGUAGCUGUGGGGUGGCUGCAAACUUCAAAAGCCGCCCAGAAUGCUGGCUCUGUGCAGCCUCUGCAGCCGCUCCAUUAUGCAUCAGCACACAGCAGAUCAAACACCUCCAUAUCAUGCGCUUGUGGGUCUUUGGCAAAGCAAUCAGAACCUCAGCAUUCCUUCCUUGGUAAUAUGUGGGGCGGUUGCUCUGCACACUGGAGAGUGAUGGUGUCGGGGUAUGGGGGUGCGCGUGUAAUUUUCUUAAGCGAAGCACUUCAAUCAAAGCUUCAUUCUACUGUAAACCCAAUUAACUUCAGUCUCUGCCAAGUCAGCUCGGCUGUCUGCAGGAAUGUAUGUACAGCUAUGAAUAAUUGCUACACCCGGUUUUCUUUCCAUCUAAGGAACGCCACGAGGCUUUUGCUACCACCAGAUAAACCCUCCGCAUGUGUCUCUGAGGUUCCAGCUGAAGAUGUCUGCUCAGAAACGGUAAACGUGUUUGAAUAGCACUCUGUGUGUGCAGAGGCUCAAUAAGAAGCAUGCACUUCCUUUGCUGUGGAGCAGAAGGUCUCUGAACCCACAUCCUGCACUCCUCGGAGCCAUCAGGACGCUGCCGUUAGCUCUGUGGGAGCAGAAAGGAGCACUUAUGUGGCAUCAUGACAUGCUGCUGCAGAACGAGCCCAUUACCGCAGGAAAACACCAGCAGGGCAUCCUCUGUGUCAUACAAGAGGAAAGGGUACAGAAGUGAGUGCCUGGUGUGACACCUGUGAACGGAGCUGCACAAAGCAGCAGUGACAGCGUGGUUCCCGCAGCAGAACUCAGUGCCACGCUGCUGCUCACUGCUCCAGCUUCCCUUCUCCUGGCACUGCCUCAGAGUACAGCUUCAUCCGGAGAUGCCAAUGGUGUGACAACACGGAGCUGCAGCAGGUGCAAUGCUGCGGGGCUGCAUUGUGCCUCCAUCACCAUCCCAACCCUCCAUCACCACAGCAGCCUCCUUUGCCUGCCCACAGAUGCACAGACAUGGCUAUAAAGGGAGCUGCCAGUGCUGUGGCUUGGCCUUGUGUAGCCCUGGUCCUUCUGUGCCCCAGGAUGCCCAAACCUGCUGCUGGUGGCAUUGCAGGGGGCUGAGGCAGCAGCCGUCCUUCUCAGCUUCCAGGAGAAGACCAGAAGGCAGCUGAGCAUCCCUGCCAUGCUCUGACAGGAGCUUACACCUGGAAAGCAUUGGCAGGAAAGCAGUGAAGUCAUCGCAGGUCAAACGCUGAGUGUUGCUUAAAAAGGGAAGUUCGGACUAUGGACACGUGAACAAAUUGCCCUAAGGAUCCCACGUACCAACUGAUGUGUGAGAACCACUUCUUAUCUGCACUGAGAACCAGCCCAUGCAAGGUCAGUUUAGAAAGGAGACUUGCCUGGGAUUUUGCUCUGAGGUUUGGCCACCCAGUCCCCAUUACAGCUGAGCGUGGGAUUUUGCUGUAGAAAGGUGCUGAUUCUGCCAGAAUGCAAAACGUGUGCUGACAUCGGUGG